AAAUUGAAGAGUUUGAUCAUGGCUCAGAUUGAACGCUGGCGGCAGGCCUAACACAUGCAAGUCGAGCGGUAGCACAGAGAGCUUGCUCUCGGGUGACGAGCGGCGGACGGGUGAGUAAUGUCUGGGAAACUGCCUGAUGGAGGGGGAUAACUACUGGAAACGGUAGCUAAUACCGCAUAAUGUCGCAAGACCAAAGUGGGGGACCUUCGGGCCUCAUGCCAUCAGAUGUGCCCAGAUGGGAUUAGCUUGUAGGUGGGGUAACGGCUCACCUAGGCGACGAUCCCUAGCUGGUCUGAGAGGAUGACCAGCCACACUGGAACUGAGACACGGUCCAGACUCCUACGGGAGGCAGCAGUGGGGAAUAUUGCACAAUGGGCGCAAGCCUGAUGCAGCCAUGCCGCGUGUGUGAAGAAGGCCUUCGGGUUGUAAAGCACUUUCAGCGGGGAGGAAGGCGGUGAGGUUAAUAACCUCAUCGAUUGACGUUACCCGCAGAAGAAGCACCGGCUAACUCCGUGCCAGCAGCCGCGGUAAUACGGAGGGUGCAAGCGUUAAUCGGAAUUACUGGGCGUAAAGCGCACGCAGGCGGUCUGUCAAGUCGGAUGUGAAAUCCCCGGGCUCAACCUGGGAACUGCAUUCGAAACUGGCAGGCUAGAGUCUUGUAGAGGGGGGUAGAAUUCCAGGUGUAGCGGUGAAAUGCGUAGAGAUCUGGAGGAAUACCGGUGGCGAAGGCGGCCCCCUGGACAAAGACUGACGCUCAGGUGCGAAAGCGUGGGGAGCAAACAGGAUUAGAUACCCUGGUAGUCCACGCCGUAAACGAUGUCGAUUUGGAGGUUGUGCCCUUGAGGCGUGGCUUCCGGAGCUAACGCGUUAAAUCGACCGCCUGGGGAGUACGGCCGCAAGGUUAAAACUCAAAUGAAUUGACGGGGCCCGCACAAGCGGUGGAGCAUGUGGUUUAAUUCGAUGCAACGCGAAGAACCUUACCUGGUCUUGACAUCCACAGAACUUAGCAGAGAUGCUUUGGUGCCUUCGGGAACUGUGAGACAGGUGCUGCAUGGCUGUCGUCAGCUCGUGUUGUGAAAUGUUGGGUUAAGUCCCGCAACGAGCGCAACCCUUAUCCUUUGUUGCCAGCGGUCCGGCCGGGAACUCAAAGGAGACUGCCAGUGAUAAACUGGAGGAAGGUGGGGAUGACGUCAAGUCAUCAUGGCCCUUACGACCAGGGCUACACACGUGCUACAAUGGCAUAUACAAAGAGAAGCGACCUCGCGAGAGCAAGCGGACCUCAUAAAGUAUGUCGUAGUCCGGAUUGGAGUCUGCAACUCGACUCCAUGAAGUCGGAAUCGCUAGUAAUCGUAGAUCAGAAUGCUACGGUGAAUACGUUCCCGGGCCUUGUACACACCGCCCGUCACACCAUGGGAGUGGGUUGCAAAAGAAGUAGGUAGCUUAACCUUCGGGAGGGCGCUUACCACUUUGUGAUUCAUGACUGGGGUGAAGUCGUAACAAGGUAACCGUAGGGGAACCUGCGGUUGGAUCACCUCCUUACCUUAAAGAA
rnacentral:rRNA from 1 species